ACUACGUCGCCCAUAGCACCAUUUCGGGAAGCCCCAGAAACCAUAAUGGGCGGUGAAUAGGGGGCGCAUUUUUUGGGCUCAAAUUCAACCGUUUUGACCCUCAAACGGGCUGCGGAAAGUUAUGGCACGUAAAAAAGAUCGAAAGCGGAUUCUCAAGGUGUUUUUGAUGCUUUCUUAACGCCGUUAACCUCGAUGGGUACUUGUUCGCUCGAAACAAAACGGCAAGAAAAUCAUGUGCGGCCCACGGUCUUACACUUGAUUUGCCGCGAAAAGGAUAUAUAGAAACGAGAGUGAUGUACUGACGGGUGCGAUCAUACCAGCACUAAUGCACCGGAUCUCGUCAGAACUCCGCAGUUAAGCGUGCUUGGGCGAGAGUAGUACUAGGCUGGGUGACCUCCCGGGAAGUCCUCGUGUUGCAACAGUUUUUAUUUUUAAUUUUUUUUUUAGCUAAACUUGAAAACCUCAUAACUUUUGAACCGUGAGGAACUACGUCGCCCAUAGCACCAUUUCGGAGAGCCCCAGAAACCAUAAUGGGCGGUGAAUAGGGGGCGCAAUUUUUCGGGCUCAAAUUCAGCCGUUUUGACCCUCAAACGGGCUGCGGAAAGUUAUGGCACGUAAAAAAGAUCGAAAGCGGAUUCUCAAGGUGUUUUUGAUGCUUUCUUAACGCCGUUAACCUCGAUGCACUUUUUCGCUCGAAACAAAACGGCAAGAAAAUCAUGCGCGCCCCACGGCCUUACACUUGGAUUGGCCGCGAAAAGGAUAUAUAGAAACGAGAGUGAUGUACUGUCGGGUGCGAUCAUACCAGCACUAAUGCACCGGAUCCCAUCAGAACUCCGCAGUUAAGCGUGCUUGGGCGAGAGUAGUAGUACUAGGAUGGGUGACCUCCCGGGAAGUCCUCGUGUUGCACCCCUUUUUAUUUUUAAUUUUUUUUUAGCCUAAAACGAGUCUAAACUUGAAAACCUCAUAACUUUUGAACCGUGAGGAACUACGUCGCCCAUAGCACCAUUUCGGAAAGCCCCAGAAACCAUAAUGGGCGGUGAAUAGGGGGCGCAAUUUUUCGGGCUCAAAUUCAGCCGUUUUGACCCUCAAACGGGCUGCGGAAAGUUAUGGCACGUAAAAAAGAUCGAAAGCGGAUUCUCAAGGUGUUUUUGAUGCUUUCUUAACGCCGUUAACCUCGAUGCACUUUUUCGCUCGAAACAAAACGGCAAGAAAAUCAUGCGCGCCCCACGGCCUUACACUUGGAUUGGCCGCGAAAAGGAUAUAUAGAAACGAGAGUGAUGUACUGUCGGGUGCGAUCAUACCAGCACUAAUGCACCGGAUCCCAUCAGAACUCCGCAGUUAAGCGUGCUUGGGCGAGAGUAGUACUAGGAUGGGUGACCUCCCGGGAAGUCCUCGUGUUGCACCCCUUUUAUUUUACCAGCACUUAAUUUUUUUUAGCCUAAAACGAGUCUAAACUUGAAAACCCCAUAACUUUUGAACCGUGAGGAACUACGUCGCCCAUAGCACCAUUUCGGAAAGCCCCAGAAACCAUAAUGGCGGUGAAUAGGGGGCGCAAUUUUUCGGGCUCAAAUUCAGCCGUUUUGACCCUCAAACGGGCUGCGGAAAGUUAUGGCACGUAAAAAAGAUCGAAAGCGGAUUCUCAAGGUGUUUUUGAUGCUUUCUUAACGCCGUUAACCUCGAUGCACUUUUUCGCUCGAAACAAAACGGCAAAAAAAUCAUGUGGGCCCCACGGCCUUACACUUGGAUUGGCCGCGAAAAGGAUAUAUAGAAACGAGAGUGAUGUACUGACGGGUGCGAUCAUACCAGCACUAAUGCACCGGAUCCCAUCAGAACUCCGCAGUGAAGCGUGCUUGGGCGAGAGUAGUACUAGGAUGGGUGACCUCCCGGGAAGUCCUCGUGUUGCACCCCUUUUUAUUUUAUAAUUUUUUUUUAGCCUAAAACGAGUCUAAACUUGAAAACCUCAUAACUUUUGAACCGUGAGGAACUACGUCGCCCAUAGCACCAUUUCGGAAAGCCCCAGAAACCAUAAUGGGCGGUGAAUAGGGGGCGCAAUUUUUCGGGCUCAAAUUCAGCCGUUUUGACCCUCAAACGGGCUGCGGAAAGUUAUGGCACGUAAAAAAGAUCGAAAGCGGAUUCUCAAGGUGUUUUUGAUGCUUUCUUAACGCCGUUAACCUCGAUGCACUUUUUCGCUCGAAACAAAACGGCAAGAAAAUCAUGUGGGCCCCACGGCCUUACACUUGGAUUGGCCGCGAAAAGGAUAUAUAGAAACGAGAGUGAUGUACUGACGGGUGCGAUCAUACCAGCACUAAUGCACCGGAUCCCAUCAGAACUCCGCAGCUAAGCGUGCUUGGGCGAGAGUAGUACUAGGAUGGGUGACCUCCCGGGAAGUCCUCGUGUUGCACCCCUUUUAUUUUUUAAUUUUUUUUAGCCUAAAACGAGUCUAAACUUGAAAACCCCAUAACUUUUGAACCGUGAGAAACUACGUCGCCCAUAGCACCAUUUCGGAAAGCCCCAGAAACCAUAAUGGGCGGUGAAUAGGGGGCGCAAUUUUUCGGGCUCAAAUUCAGCCGUUUUGACCCUCAAACGGGCUGCGGAAAGUUAUGGCACGUAAAAAAGAUCGAAAGCGGAUUCUCAAGGUGUUUUGAUGCUUUCUUAACGCCGUUAACCUCGAUGCACUUUUUCGCUCGAAACAAAACGGCAAGAAAAUCAUGCGCGGCCCCACGGCCUUACACUUGGAUUGGCCGCGAAAAGGAUAUAUAGAAACGAGAGUGAUGUACUGACGGGUGCGAUCAUACCAGCACUAAUGCACCGGAUCCCAUCAGAACUCCGCAGUUAAGCGUGCUUGGGCGAGAGUAGUACUAGGAUGGGUGACCUCCCGGGAAGUCCUCGUGUUGCACCCCUUUUUAUUUUUAAUUUUUUUUUAGCCUAAAACGAGUCUAAACUUGAAAACCUCAUAACUUUUGAACCGUGAGGAACUACGUCGCCCAUAGCACCAUUUCGGAAAGCCCCAGAAACCAUAAUGGGCGGUGAAUAGGGGGCGCAAUUUUUCGGGCUCAAAUUCAGCCGUUUUGACCCUCAAACGGGCUGCGGAAAGUUAUGGCACGUAAAAAAGAUCGAAAGCGGAUUCUCAAGGUGUUUUUGAUGCUUUCUUAACGCCGUUAACCUCGAUGCACUUUUUCGCUCGAAACAAAACGGCAAGAAAAUCAUGCGCGCCCCACGGCCUUACACUUGGAUUGGCCGCGAAAAGGAUAUAUAGAAACGAGAGUGAUGUACUGACGGGUGCGAUCAUACCAGCACUAAUGCACCGGAUCCCAUCAGAACUCCGCAGUUAAGCGUGCUUGGGCGAGAGUAGUACUAGGAUGGGUGACCUCCCGGGAAGUCCUCGUGUUGCACCCCUUUUAUUUUUAAUUUUUUUUUAGCCUAAAACGAGUCUAAACUUGAAAACCUCAUAACUUUUGAACCGUGAGGAACUACGUCGCCCAUAGCACCAUUUCGGAAAGCCCCAGAAACCAUAAUGGGCGGUGAAUAGGGGGCGCAAUUUUUCGGGCUCAAAUUCAGCCGUUUUGACCCUCAAACGGGCUGCGGAAAGUUAUGGCACGUAAAAAAGAUCGAAAGCGGAUUCUCAAGGUGUUUUUGAUGCUUUCUUAACGCCGUUAACCUCGAUGCACUUUUUCGCUCGAAACAAAACGGCAAGAAAAUCAUGUGCGGCCCACGGCCUUACACUUGGAUUGGCCGCGAAAAGGAUAUAUAGAAACGAGAGUGAUGUACUGACGGGUGCGAUCAUACCAGCACUAAUGCACCGGAUCCCAUCAGAACUCCGCAGUGAAGCGUGCUUGGGCGAGAGUAGUACUAGGAUGGGUGACCUCCCGGGAAGUCCUCGUGUUGCACCCCUUUUUAUUUUUAUUUUUUUUUUAGCCUAAAACGAGUCUAAACUUGAAAACCUCAUAACUUUUGAACCGUGAGGAACUACGUCGCCCAUAGCACCAUUUCGGAAAGCCCCAGAAACCAUAAUGGGCGGUGAAUAGGGGGCGCAAUUUUUCGGGCUCAAAUUCAGCCGUUUUGACCCUCAAACGGGCUGCGGAAAGUUAUGGCACGUAAAAAAGAUCGAAAGCGGAUUCUCAAGGUGUUUUUGAUGCUUUCUUAACGCCGUUAACCUCGAUGCACUUUUUCGCUCGAAACAAAACGGCAAGAAAAUCAUGUGGGCCCCACGGCCUUACACUUGGAUUGGCCGGGGAAAGGAUAUAUAGAAACGAGAGUGAUGUACUGACGGGUGCGAUCAUACCAGCACUAAUGCACCGGAUCCCAUCAGAACUCCGCAGUGAAGCGUGCUUGGGCGAGAGUAGUACUAGGAUGGGUGACCUCCCGGGAAGUCCUCGUGUUGCACCCCUUUUUAUUUUAUAAUUUUUUUUUAGCCUAAAACGAGUCUAAACUUGAAAACCUCAUAACUUUUGAACCGUGAGGAACUACGUCGCCCAUAGCACCAUUGAGAAAGCCCCAGAAACCAUAAUGGGCGGUGAAUAGGGGGCGCAAUUUUUCGGGCUCAAAUUCAGCCGUUUUGACCCUCAAACGGGCUGCGGAAAGUUAUGGCACGUAAAAAAGAUCGAAAGCGGAUUCUCAAGGUGUUUUUGAUGCUUUCUUAACGCCGUUAACCUCGAUGCACUUUUUCGCUCGAAACAAAACGGCAAGAAAAUCAUGCGCGCCCCACGGCCUUACACUUGGAUUGGCCGCGAAAAGGAUAUAUAGAAACGAGAGUGAUGUACUGACGGGUGCGAUCAUACCAGCACUAAUGCACCGGAUCCCAUCAGAACUCCGCAGUUAAGCGUGCUUGGGCGAGAGUAGUAGUACUAGGAUGGGUGACCUCCCGGGAAGUCCUCGUGUUGCACCCCUUUUUAUUUUUUAAUUUUUUUUUAGCCUAAAACGAGUCUAAACUUGAAAACCUCAUAACUUUUGAACCGUGAGGAACUACGUCGCCCAUAGCACCAUUUCGGAAAGCCCCAGAAACCAUAAUGGGCGGUGAAUAGGGGGCGCAAUUUUUCGGGCUCAAAUUCAGCCGUUUUGACCCUCAAACGGGCUGCGGAAAGUUAUGGCACGUAAAAAAGAUCGAAAGCGGAUUCUCAAGGUGUUUUUGAUGCUUUCUUAACGCCGUUAACCUCGAUGCACUUUUUCGCUCGAAACAAAACGGCAAGAAAAUCAUGCGCGCCCACGGCCUUACACUUGGAUUGGCCGCGAAAAGGAUAUAUAGAAACGAGAGUGAUGUACUGACGGGUGCGAUCAUACCAGCACUAAUGCACCGGAUCCCAUCAGAACUCCGCAGCUAAGCGUGCUUGGGCGAGAGUAGUACUAGGAUGGGUGACCUCCCGGGAAGUCCUCGUGUUGCACCCCUUUUAUUUUUUAAUUUUUUUUUAGCCUAAAACGAGUCUAAACUUGAAAACCCCAUAACUUUUGAACCGUGAGGAACUACGUCGCCCAUAGCACCAUUUCGGAAAGCCCCAGAAACCAUAAUGGGCGGUGAAUAGGGGGCGCAAUUUUUCGGGCUCAAAUUCAGCCGUUUUGACCCUCAAACGGGCUGCGGAAAGUUAUGGCACGUAAAAAAGAUCGAAAGCGGAUUCUCAAGGUGUUUUUGAUGCUUUCUUAACGCCGUUAACCUCGAUGCACUUUUUCGCUCGAAACAAAACGGCAAGAAAAUCAUGCGCGCCCCACGGCCUUACACUUGGAUUGGCCGCGAAAAGGAUAUAUAGAAACGAGAGUGAUGUACUGACGGGUGCGAUCAUACCAGCACUAAUGCACCGGAUCCCAUCAGAACUCCGCAGUUAAGCGUGCUUGGGCGAGAGUAGUACUAGGAUGGGUGACCUCCCGGGAAGUCCUCGUGUUGCACCCCUUUUUAUUUUUUAAUUUUUUUUUAGCCUAAAACGAGUCUAAACUUGAAAACCUCAUAACUUUUGAACCGUGAGGAACUACGUCGCCCAUAGCACCAUUUCGGAGAGCCCCAGAAACCAUAAUGGGCGGUGAAUAGGGGGGGCGCAAUUUUUCGGGCUCAAAUUCAGCCGUUUUGACCCUCAAACGGGCUGCGGAAAGUUAUGGCACGUAAAAAAGAUCGAAAGCGGAUUCUCAAGGUGUUUUUGAUGCUUUCUUAACGCCGUUAACCUCGAUGCACUUUUUCGCUCGAAACAAAACGGCAAGAAAAUCAUGCGCGCCCCACGGCCUUACACUUGGAUUGGCCGCGAAAAGGAUAUAUAGAAACGAGAGUGAUGUACUGACGGGUGCGAUCAUACCAGCACUAAUGCACCGGAUCCCAUCAGAACUCCGCAGUUAAGCGUGCUUGGGCGAGAGUAGUACUAGGAUGGGUGACCUCCCGGGAAGUCCUCGUGUUGCACCCCUUUUUAUUUUUAAUUUUUUUUUAGCCUAAAACGAGUCUAAACUUGAAAACCUCAUAACUUUUGAACCGUGAGGAACUACGUCGCCCAUAGCACCAUUUCGGAGAGCCCCAGAAACCAUAAUGGGCGGUGAAUAGGGGGCGCAAUUUUUCGGGCUCAAAUUCAGCCGUUUUGACCCUCAAACGGGCUGCGGAAAGUUAUGGCACGUAAAAAAGAUCGAAAGCGGAUUCUCAAGGUGUUUUUGAUGCUUUCUUAACGCCGUUAACCUCGAUGCACUUUUUCGCUCGAAACAAAACGGCAAGAAAAUCAUGCGCGCCCCACGGCCUUACACUUGGAUUGGCCGCGAAAAGGAUAUAUAGAAACGAGAGUGAUGUACUGACGGGUGCGAUCAUACCAGCACUAAUGCACCGGAUCCCAUCAGAACUCCGCAGUUAAGCGUGCUUGGGCGAGAGUAGUACUAGGAUGGGUGACCUCCCGGGAAGUCCUCGUGUUGCACCCCUUUUUAUUUUUUAAUUUUUUUUAGCCUAAAACGAGUCUAAACUUGAAAACCUCAUAACUUUUGAACCGUGAGGAACUACGUCGCCCAUAGCACCAUUUCGGAGAGCCCCAGAAACCAUAAUGGGCGGUGAAUAGGGGGCGCAAUUUUUCGGGCUCAAAUUCAGCCGUUUUGACCCUCAAACGGGCUGCGGAAAGUUAUGGCACGUAAAAAAGAUCGAAAGCGGAUUCUCAAGGUGUUUUUGAUGCUUUCUUAACGCCGUUAACCUCGAUGCACUUUUUCGCUCGAAACAAAACGGCAAGAAAAUCAUGCGCGCCCCACGGCCUUACACUUGGAUUGGCCGCGAAAAGGAUAUAUAGAAACGAGAGUGAUGUACUGACGGGUGCGAUCAUACCAGCACUAAUGCACCGGAUCCCAUCAGAACUCCGCAGUUAAGCGUGCUUGGGCGAGAGUAGUACUAGGAUGGGUGACCUCCGGGAAGUCCUCGUGUUGCACCCCUUUUUAUUUUUUAAUUUUUUUUAGCCUAAAACGAGUCUAAACUUGAAAACCUCAUAACUUUUGAACCGUGAGGAACUACGUCGCCCAUAGCACCAUUUCGGAGAGCCCCAGAAACCAUAAUGGGCGGUGAAUAGGGGGCGCAAUUUUUCGGGCUCAAAUUCAGCCGUUUUGACCCUCAAACGGGCUGCGGAAAGUUAUGGCACGUAAAAAAGAUCGAAAGCGGAUUCUCAAGGUGUUUUUGAUGCUUUCUUAACGCCGUUAACCUCGAUGCACUUUUUCGCUCGAAACAAAACGGCAAGAAAAUCAUGCGCGCCCCACGGCCUUACACUUGGAUUGGCCGCGAAAAGGAUAUAUAGAAACGAGAGUGAUGUACUGACGGGUGCGAUCAUACCAGCACUAAUGCACCGGAUCCCAUCAGAACUCCGCAGUUAAGCGUGCUUGGGCGAGAGUAGUACUAGGAUGGGUGACCUCCCGGGAAGUCCUCGUGUUGCACCCCUUUUUAUUUUUUAAUUUUUUUUUGCCUAAAACGAGUCUAAACUUGAAAACCUCAUAACUUUUGAACCGUGAGGAACUACGUCGCCCAUAGCACCAUUUCGGAGAGCCCCAGAAACCAUAAUGGGCGGUGAAUAGGGGGCGCAAUUUUUCGGGCUCAAAUUCAGCCGUUUUGACCCUCAAACGGGCUGCGGAAAGUUAUGGCACGUAAAAAAGAUCGAAAGCGGAUUCUCAAGGUGUUUUUGAUGCUUUCUUAACGCCGUUAACCUCGAUGCACUUUUUCGCUCGAAACAAAACGGCAAGAAAAUCAUGCGCGCCCCACGGCCUUACACUUGGAUUGGCCGCGAAAAGGAUAUAUAGAAACGAGAGUGAUGUACUGACGGGUGCGAUCAUACCAGCACUAAUGCACCGGAUCCCAUCAGAACUCCGCAGUUAAGCGUGCUUGGGCGAGAGUAGUACUAGGAUGGGUGACCUCCCGGGAAGUCCUCGUGUUGCACCCCUUUUUAUUUUUUAAUUUUUUUUUAGCCUAAAACGAGUCUAAACUUGAAAACCUCAUAACUUUUGAACCGUGAGGAACUACGUCGCCCAUAGCACCAUUUCGGAAAGCCCCAGAAACCAUAAUGGGCGGUGAAUAGGGGGCGCAAUUUUUCGGGCUCAAAUUCAGCCCGUUUUGACCCUCAAACGGGCUGCGGAAAGUUAUGGCACGUAAAAAAGAUCGAAAGCGGAUUCUCAAGGUGUUUUUGAUGCUUUCUUAACGCCGUUAACCUCGAUGCACUUUUUCGCUCGAAACAAAACGGCAAGAAAAUCAUGCGCGCCCCACGGCCUUACACUUGGAUUGGCCGCGAAAAGGAUAUAUAGAAACGAGAGUGAUGUACUGACGGGUGCGAUCAUACCAGCACUAAUGCACCGGAUCCCAUCAGAACUCCGCAGUUAAGCGUGCUUGGGCGAGAGUAGUACUAGGAUGGGUGACCUCCCGGGAAGUCCUCGUGUUGCACCCCUUUUUAUUUUUUAAUUUUUUUUAGCCUAAAACGAGUCUAAACUUGAAAACCUCAUAACUUUUGAACCGUGAGGAACUACGUCGCCCAUAGCACCAUUUCGGAGCCCCAGAAACCAUAAUGGGCGGGUGAAUAGGGGGCGCAAUUUUUCGGGCUCAAAUUCAGCCGUUUUGACCCUCAAACGGGCUGCGGAAAGUUAUGGCACGUAAAAAAGAUCGAAAGCGGAUUCUCAAGGUGUUUUUGAUGCUUUCUUAACGCCGUUAACCUCGAUGCACUUUUUCGCUCGAAACAAAACGGCAAGAAAAUCAUGCGCGCCCCACGGCCUUACACUUGGAUUGGCCGCGAAAAGGAUAUAUAGAAACGAGAGUGAUGUACUGACGGGUGCGAUCAUACCAGCACUAAUGCACCGGAUCCCAUCAGAACUCCGCAGUUAAGCGUGCUUGGGCGAGAGUAGUACUAGGAUGGGUGACCUCCCGGGAAGUCCUCGUGUUGCACCCCUUUUUAUUUUUUAAUUUUUUUUUAGCCUAAAACGAGUCUAAACUUGAAAACCUCAUAACUUUUGAACCGUGAGGAACUACGUCGCCCAUAGCACCAUUUCGGAGAGCCCCAGAAACCAUAAUGGGCGGUGAAUAGGGGGCGCAAUUUUUCGGGCUCAAAUUCAGCCGUUUUGACCCUCAAACGGGCUGCGGAAAGUUAUGGCACGUAAAAAAGAUCGAAAGCGGAUUCUCAAGGUGUUUUUGAUGCUUUCUUAACGCCGUUAACCUCGAUGCACUUUUUCGCUCGAAACAAAACGGCAAGAAAAUCAUGCGCGCCCCACGGCCUUACACUUGGAUUGGCCGCGAAAAGGAUAUAUAGAAACGAGAGUGAUGUACUGACGGGUGCGAUCAUACCAGCACUAAUGCACCGGAUCCCAUCAGAACUCCGCAGUUAAGCGUGCUUGGGCGAGAGUAGUACUAGGAUGGGUGACCUCCCGGGAAGUCCUCGUGUUGCACCCCUUUUUAUUUUUUAAUUUUUUUUUAGCCUAAAACGAGUCUAAACUUGAAAACCUCAUAACUUUUGAACCGUGAGGAACUACGUCGCCCAUAGCACCAUUUCGGAGAGCCCCAGAAACCAUAAUGGGCGGUGAAUAGGGGGCGCAAUUUUUCGGGCUCAAAUUCAGCCGUUUUGACCCUCAAACGGGCUGCGGAAAGUUAUGGCACGUAAAAAAGAUCGAAAGCGGAUUCUCAAGGUGUUUUUGAUGCUUUCUUAACGCCGUUAACCUCGAUGCACUUUUUCGCUCGAAACAAAACGGCAAGAAAAUCAUGCGCGCCCCACGGCCUUACACUUGGAUUGGCCGCGAAAAGGAUAUAUAGAAACGAGAGUGAUGUACUGACGGGUGCGAUCAUACCAGCACUAAUGCACCGGAUCCCAUCAGAACUCCGCAGUUAAGCGUGCUUGGGCGAGAGUAGUACUAGGAUGGGUGACCUCCCGGGAAGUCCUCGUGUUGCACCCCUUUUUUAUUUUUUAAUUUUUUUUAGCCUAAAACGAGUCUAAACUUGAAAACCUCAUAACUUUUGAACCGUGAGGAACUACGUCGCCCAUAGCACCAUUUCGGAAAGCCCCAGAAACCAUAAUGGGCGGUGAAUAGGGGGCGCAAUUUUUCGGGCUCAAAUUCAGCCGUUUUGACCCUCAAACGGGCUGCGGAAAGUUAUGGCACGUAAAAAAGAUCGAAAGCGGAUUCUCAAGGUGUUUUUGAUGCUUUCUUAACGCCGUUAACCUCGAUGCACUUUUUCGCUCGAAACAAAACGGCAAGAAAAUCAUGCGCGCCCCACGGCCUUACACUUGGAUUGGCCGCGAAAAGGAUAUAUAGAAACGAGAGUGAUGUACUGACGGGUGCGAUCAUACCAGCACUAAUGCACCGGAUCCCAUCAGAACUCCGCAGUUAAGCGUGCUUGGGCGAGAGUAGUACUAGGAUGGGUGACCUCCCGGGAAGUCCUCGUGUUGCACCCCUUUUUUUUUUUAAUUUUUUUUUAGCCUAAAACGAGUCUAAACUUGAAAACCUCAUAACUUUUGAACCGUGAGGAACUACGUCGCCCAUAGCACCAUUUCGGAGAGCCCCAGAAACCAUAAUGGGCGGUGAAUAGGGGGCGCAAUUUUUCGGGCUCAAAUUCAGCCGUUUUGACCCUCAAACGGGCUGCGGAAAGUUAUGGCACGUAAAAAAGAUCGAAAGCGGAUUCUCAAGGUGUUUUGAUGCUUUCUUAACGCCGUUAACCUCGAUGCACUUUUUCGCUCGAAACAAAACGGCAAGAAAAUCAUGUGGGCCCCACGGCCUUACACUUGGAUUGGCCGCGAAAAGGAUAUAUAGAAACGAGAGUGAUGUACUGACGGGUGCGAUCAUACCAGCACUAAUGCACCGGAUCCCAUCAGAACUCCGCAGUUAAGCGUGCUUGGGCGAGAGUAGUACUAGGAUGGGUGACCUCCCGGGAAGUCCUCGUGUUGCACCCCUUUUUAUUUUUUAAUUUUUUUUUAGCCUAAAACGAGUCUAAACUUGAAAACCUCAUAACUUUUGAACCGUGAGGAACUACGUCGCCCAUAGCACCAUUUCGGAGAGCCCCAGAAACCAUAAUGGGGCGGUGAAUAGGGGGCGCAAUUUUUCGGGCUCAAAUUCAGCCGUUUUGACCCUCAAACGGGCUGCGGAAAGUUAUGGCACGUAAAAAAGAUCGAAAGCGGAUUCUCAAGGUGUUUUUGAUGCUUUCUUAACGCCGUUAACCUCGAUGCACUUUUUCGCUCGAAACAAAACGGCAAGAAAAUCAUGCGCGCCCCACGGCCUUACACUUGGAUUGGCCGCGAAAAGGAUAUAUAGAAACGAGAGUGAUGUACUGACGGGUGCGAUCAUACCAGCACUAAUGCACCGGAUCCCAUCAGAACUCCGCAGUUAAGCGUGCUUGGGCGAGAGUAGUACUAGGAUGGGUGACCUCCCGGGAAGUCCUCGUGUUGCACCCCUUUUUAUUUUUUAUUUUUUUUUUAGCCUAAAACGAGUCUAAACUUGAAAACCUCAUAACUUUUGAACCGUGAGGAACUACGUCGCCCAUAGCACCAUUUCGGAAGAGCCCCAGAAACCAUAAUGGGCGGUGAAUAGGGGGCGCAAUUUUUCGGGCUCAAAUUCAGCCGUUUUGACCCUCAAACGGGCUGCGGAAAGUUAUGGCACGUAAAAAAGAUCGAAAGCGGAUUCUCAAGGUGUUUUUGAUGCUUUCUUAACGCCGUUAACCUCGAUGCACUUUUUCGCUCGAAACAAAACGGCAAGAAAAUCAUGCGCGCCCCACGGCCUUACACUUGGAUUGGCCGCGAAAAGGAUAUAUAGAAACGAGAGUGAUGUACUGACGGGUGCGAUCAUACCAGCACUAAUGCACCGGAUCCCAUCAGAACUCCGCAGCUAAGCGUGCUUGGGCGAGAGUAGUACUAGGAUGGGUGACCUCCCGGGAAGUCCUCGUGUUGCACCCCUUUUUAUUUUUUAAUUUUUUUUUUUGCCUAAAACGAGUCUAAACUUGAAAACCUCAUAACUUUUGAACCGUGAGGAACUACGUCGCCCAUAGCACCAUUUCGGAGAGCCCCAGAAACCAUAAUGGGCGGUGAAUAGGGGGCGCAAUUUUUCGGGCUCAAAUUCAGCCGUUUUGACCCUCAAACGGGCUGCGGAAAGUUAUGGCACGUAAAAAAGAUCGAAAGCGGAUUCUCAAGGUGUUUUUGAUGCUUUCUUAACGCCGUUAACCUCGAUGCACUUUUUCGCUCGAAACAAAACGGCAAGAAAAUCAUGCGCGCCCCACGGCCUUACACUUGGAUUGGCCGCGAAAAGGAUAUAUAGAAACGAGAGUGAUGUACUGACGGGUGCGAUCAUACCAGCACUAAUGCACCGGAUCCCAUCAGAACUCCGCAGUUAAGCGUGCUUGGGCGAGAGUAGUACUAGGAUGGGUGACCUCCCGGGAAGUCCUCGUGUUGCACCCCUUUUUAUUUUUUAAUUUUUUUUUAGCCUAAAACGAGUCUAAACUUGAAAACCUCAUAACUUUUGAACCGUGAGGAACUACGUCGCCCAUAGCACCAUUUCGGAGAGCCCCAGAAACCAUAAUGGGCGGUGAAUAGGGGGCGCAAUUUUUCGGGCUCAAAUUCAGCCGUUUUGACCCUCAAACGGGCUGCGGAAAGUUAUGGCACGUAAAAAAGAUCGAAAGCGGAUUCUCAAGGUGUUUUUGAUGCUUUCUUAACGCCGUUAACCUCGAUGCACUUUUUCGCUCGAAACAAAACGGCAAGAAAAUCAUGCGCGCCCCACGGCCUUACACUUGGAUUGGCCGCGAAAAGGAUAUAUAGAAACGAGAGUGAUGUACUGACGGGUGCGAUCAUACCAGCACUAAUGCACCGGAUCCCAUCAGAACUCCGCAGUUAAGCGUGCUUGGGCGAGAGUAGUACUAGGAUGGGUGACCUCCCGGGAAGUCCUCGUGUUGCACCCCUUUUUAUUUUUUAAUUUUUUUUAGCCUAAAACGAGUCUAAACUUGAAAACCUCAUAACUUUUGAACCGUGAGGAACUACGUCGCCCAUAGCACCAUUUCGGAGAGCCCCAGAAACCAUAAUGGGCGGUGAAUAGGGGGCGCAAUUUUUCGGGCUCAAAUUCAGCCGUUUUGACCCUCAAACGGGCUGCGGAAAGUUAUGGCACGUAAAAAAGAUCGAAAGCGGAUUCUCAAGGUGUUUUUGAUGCUUUCUUAACGCCGUUAACCUCGAUGCACUUUUUCGCUCGAAACAAAACGGCAAGAAAAUCAUGCGCGCCCACGGCCUUACACUUGGAUUGGCCGCGAAAAGGAUAUAUAGAAACGAGAGUGAUGUACUGACGGGUGCGAUCAUACCAGCACUAAUGCACCGGAUCCCAUCAGAACUCCGCAGUAAGCGUGCUUGGGCGAGAGUAGUACUAGGAUGGGUGACCUCCCGGGAAGUCCUCGUGUUGCACCCCUUUUUAUUUUUUAAUUUUUUUUUAGCCUAAAACGAGUCUAAACUUGAAAACCUCAUAACUUUUGAACCGUGAGGAACUACGUCGCCCAUAGCACCAUUUCGGAGAGCCCCAGAAACCAUAAUGGGCGGUGAAUAGGGGGCGCAAUUUUUCGGGCUCAAAUUCAGCCGUUUUGACCCUCAAACGGGCUGCGGAAAGUUAUGGCACGUAAAAAAGAUCGAAAGCGGAUUCUCAAGGUGUUUUUGAUGCUUUCUUAACGCCGUUAACCUCGAUGCACUUUUUCGCUCGAAACAAAACGGCAAGAAAAUCAUGCGCGCCCCACGGCCUUACACUUGGAUUGGCCGCGAAAAGGAUAUAUAGAAACGAGAGUGAUGUACUGACGGGUGCGAUCAUACCAGCACUAAUGCACCGGAUCCCAUCAGAACUCCGCAGUUAAGCGUGCUUGGGCGAGAGUAGUACUAGGAUGGGUGACCUCCCGGGAAGUCCUCGUGUUGCACCCCUUUUUAUUUUUAAUUUUUUUUUAGCCUAAAACGAGUCUAAACUUGAAAACCUCAUAACUUUUGAACCGUGAGGAACUACGUCGCCCAUAGCACCAUUUCGGAAAGCCCCAGAAACCAUAAUGGGCGGUGAAUAGGGGGCGCAAUUUUUCGGGCUCAAAUUCAGCCGUUUUGACCCUCAAACGGGCUGCGGAAAGUUAUGGCACGUAAAAAAGAUCGAAAGCGGAUUCUCAAGGUGUUUUUGAUGCUUUCUUAACGCCGUUAACCUCGAUGCACUUUUUCGCUCGAAACAAAACGGCAAGAAAAUCAUGCGCGCCCCACGGCCUUACACUUGGAUUGGCCGCGAAAAGGAUAUAUAGAAACGAGAGUGAUGUACUGACGGGUGCGAUCAUACCAGCACUAAUGCACCGGAUCCCAUCAGAACUCCGCAGUUAAGCGUGCUUGGCGCGAGAGUAGUACUAGGAUGGGUGACCUCCCGGGAAGUCCUCGUGUUGCACCCCUUUUUAUUUUUUAAUUUUUUUUUGCCUAAAACGAGUCUAAACUUGAAAACCUCAUAACUUUUGAACCGUGAGGAACUACGUCGCCCAUAGCACCAUUUCGGAGAGCCCCAGAAACCAUAAUGGGCGGUGAAUAGGGGGCGCAAUUUUUCGGGCUCAAAUUCAGCCGUUUUGACCCUCAAACGGGCUGCGGAAAGUUAUGGCACGUAAAAAAGAUCGAAAGCGGAUUCUCAAGGUGUUUUUGAUGCUUUCUUAACGCCGUUAACCUCGAUGCACUUUUUCGCUCGAAACAAAACGGCAAGAAAAUCAUGCGCGCCCACGGCCUUACACUUGGAUUGGCCGCGAAAAGGAUAUAUAGAAACGAGAGUGAUGUACUGACGGGUGCGAUCAUACCAGCACUAAUGCACCGGAUCCCAUCAGAACUCCGCAGUUAAGCGUGCUUGGGCGAGAGUAGUACUAGGAUGGGUGACCUCCCGGGAAGUCCUCGUGUUGCACCCCUUUUAUUUUUUAAUUUUUUUUUGCCUAAAACGAGUCUAAACUUGAAAACCUCAUAACUUUUGAACCGUGAGGAACUACGUCGCCCAUAGCACCAUUUCGGAGAGCCCCAGAAACCAUAAUGGGCGGGUGAAUAGGGGGCGCAAUUUUUCGGGCUCAAAUUCAGCCGUUUUGACCCUCAAACGGGCUGCGGAAAGUUAUGGCACGUAAAAAAGAUCGAAAGCGGAUUCUCAAGGUGUUUUUGAUGCUUUCUUAACGCCGUUAACCUCGAUGCACUUUUUCGCUCGAAACAAAACGGCAAGAAAAUCAUGCGCGCCCCACGGCCUUACACUUGGAUUGGCCGCGAAAAGGAUAUAUAGAAACGAGAGUGAUGUACUGACGGGUGCGAUCAUACCAGCACUAAUGCACCGGAUCCCAUCAGAACUCCGCAGUUAAGCGUGCUUGGGCGAGAGUAGUACUAGGAUGGGUGACCUCCCGGGAAGUCCUCGUGUUGCACCCCUUUUUUUUUAAAUUUUUUUUUAGCCUAAAACGAGUCUAAACUUGAAAACCUCAUAACUUUUGAACCGUGAGGAACUACGUCGCCCAUAGCACCAUUUCGGAGAGCCCCAGAAACCAUAAUGGGCGGGGAAUAGGGGGCGCAAUUUUUCGGGCUCAAAUUCAGCCGUUUUGACCCUCAAACGGGCUGCGGAAAGUUAUGUCACGUAAAAAAGAUCGAAAGCGGAUUCUCAAGGUGUUUUUGAUGCUUUCUUAACGCCGUUAACCUCGAUGCACUUUUUCGCUCGAAACAAAACGGCAAGAAAAUCAUGCGCGCCCCACGGCCUUACACUUGGAUUGGCCGCGAAAAGGAUAUAUAGAAACGAGAGUGAUGUACUGACGGGUGCGAUCAUACCAGCACUAAUGCACCGGAUCCCAUCAGAACUCCGCAGUUAAGCGUGCUUGGGCGAGAGUAGUACUAGGAUGGGUGACCUCCCGGGAAGUCCUCGUGUUGCACCCCUUUUUAUUUUUUAAUUUUUUUUUGCCUAAAACGAGUCUAAACUUGAAAACCUCAUAACUUUUGAACCGUGAGGAACUACGUCGCCCAUAGCACCAUUUCGGAGAGCCCCAGAAACCAUAAUGGGCGGUGAAUAGGGGGCGCAAUUUUUCGGGCUCAAAUUCAGCCGUUUUGACCCUCAAACGGGCUGCGGAAAGUUAUGGCACGUAAAAAAGAUCGAAAGCGGAUUCUCAAGGUGUUUUUGAUGCUUUCUUAACGCCGUUAACCUCGAUGCACUUUUUCGCUCGAAACAAAACGGCAAGAAAAUCAUGCGCGCCCCACGGCCUUACACUUGGAUUGGCCGCGAAAAGGAUAUAUAGAAACGAGAGUGAUGUACUGACGGGUGCGAUCAUACCAGCACUAAUGCACCGGAUCCCAUCAGAACUCCGCAGUUAAGCGUGCUUGGGCGAGAGUAGUACUAGGAUGGGUGACCUCCCGGGAAGUCCUCGUGUUGCACCCCUUUUUUUUUUUAAUUUUUUUUUAGCCUAAAACGAGUCUAAACUUGAAAACCUCAUAACUUUUGAACCGUGAGGAACUACGUCGCCCAUAGCACCAUUUCGGAGAGCCCCAGAAACCAUAAUGGGCGGUGAAUAGGGGGCGCAAUUUUUCGGGCUCAAAUUCAGCCGUUUUGACCCUCAAACGGGCUGCGGAAAGUUAUGGCACGUAAAAAAGAUCGAAAGCGGAUUCUCAAGGUGUUUUUGAUGCUUUCUUAACGCCGUUAACCUCGAUGCACUUUUUCGCUCGAAACAAAACGGCAAGAAAAUCAUGCGCGCCCCACGGCCUUACACUUGGAUUGGCCGCGAAAAGGAUAUAUAGAAACGAGAGUGAUGUACUGACGGGUGCGAUCAUACCAGCACUAAUGCACCGGAUCCCAUCAGAACUCCGCAGUUAAGCGUGCUUGGGCGAGAGUAGUACUAGGAUGGGUGACCUCCCGGGAAGUCCUCGUGUUGCACCCCUUUUUAUUUUUUAAUUUUUUUUUAGCCUAAAACGAGUCUAAACUUGAAAACCUCAUAACUUUUGAACCGUGAGGAACUACGUCGCCCAUAGCACCAUUUCGGAAGCCCAGAAACCAUAAUGGGCGGUGAAUAGGGGGCGCAAUUUUUCGGGCUCAAAUUCAGCCGUUUUGACCCUCAAACGGGCUGCGGAAAGUUAUGGCACGUAAAAAAGAUCGAAAGCGGAUUCUCAAGGUGUUUUUGAUGCUUUCUUAACGCCGUUAACCUCGAUGCACUUUUUCGCUCGAAACAAAACGGCAAGAAAAUCAUGCGCGCCCCACGGCCUUACACUUGGAUUGGCCGCGAAAAGGAUAUAUAGAAACGAGAGUGAUGUACUGACGGGUGCGAUCAUACCAGCACUAAUGCACCGGAUCCCAUCAGAACUCCGCAGUUAAGCGUGCUUGGGCGAGAGUAGUACUAGGAUGGGUGACCUCCCGGGAAGUCCUCGUGUUGCACCCCUUUUUAUUUUUUAAUUUUUUUUUAGCCUAAAACGAGUCUAAACUUGAAAACCUCAUAACUUUUGAACCGUGAGGAACUACGUCGCCCAUAGCACCAUUUCGGAAGCCCCAGAAACCAUAAUGGGCGGUGAAUAGGGGGCGCAAUUUUUCGGGCUCAAAUUCAGCCGUUUUGACCCUCAAACGGGCUGCGGAAAGUUAUGGCACGUAAAAAAGAUCGAAAGCGGAUUCUCAAGGUUGUUUUGAUGCUUUCUUAACGCCGUUAACCUCGAUGCACUUUUUCGCUCGAAACAAAACGGCAAGAAAAUCAUGCGCGCCCCACGGCCUUACACUUGGAUUGGCCGCGAAAAGGAUAUAUAGAAACGAGAGUGAUGUACUGACGGGUGCGAUCAUACCAGCACUAAUGCACCGGAUCCCAUCAGAACUCCGCAGUUAAGCGUGCUUGGGCGAGAGUAGUACUAGGAUGGGUGACCUCCCGGGAAGUCCUCGUGUUGCACCCCUUUUUAUUUUUUAAUUUUUUUUUAGCCUAAAACGAGUCUAAACUUGAAAACCUCAUAACUUUUGAACCGUGAGGAACUACGUCGCCCAUAGCACCAUUUCGGAAGCCCCAGAAACCAUAAUGGGCGGUGAAUAGGGGGCGCAAUUUUUCGGGCUCAAAUUCAGCCGUUUUGACCCUCAAACGGGCUGCGGAAAGUUAUGGCACGUAAAAAAGAUCGAAAGCGGAUUCUCAAGGUGUUUUUGAUGCUUUCUUAACGCCGUUAACCUCGAUGCACUUUUUCGCUCGAAACAAAACGGCAAGAAAAUCAUGCGCGCCCCACGGCCUUACACUUGGAUUGGCCGCGAAAAGGAUAUAUAGAAACGAGAGUGAUGUACUGACGGGUGCGAUCAUACCAGCACUAAUGCACCGGAUCCCAUCAGAACUCCGCAGUUAAGCGUGCUUGGGCGAGAGUAGUACUAGGAUGGGUGACCUCCCGGGAAGUCCUCGUGUUGCACACCUUUUUAUUUUAUAAUUUUUUUUAGCCUAAAACGAGUCUAAACAUGAAAACCUCAUAAAUUUUGAACCGUGAGGAACUACGUCGCCCAUAGCACCAUUGAAAAAGCCCCAGAAACCAUAAUGGGCGGUGAAUAGGGGGCGCAAUGUUUCGGGCUGAAAUUCAGCCGUUUUGACCCUCAAACGGGCUGCGGAAAGUUAUGGCACGUAAAAAAGAUCGAAAGCGGAUUCUCAAGGUGUUUUUGAUGCUUUCUUAACGCCGUUAACCUCGAUGCACUUUUUCGCUCGAAACAAAACGGCAAGAAAAUCAUGCGCGCCCCACGGCCUUACACUUGGAUUGGCCGCGAAAAGGAUAUAUAGAAACGAGAGUGAUGUACUGACGGGUGCGAUCAUACCAGCACUAAUGCACCGGAUCCCAUCAGAACUCCGCAGUUAAGCGUGCUUGGGCGAGAGUAGUACUAGGAUGGGUGACCUCCCGGGAAGUCCUCGUGUUGCACCCCUUUUUAUUUUUUAAUUUUUUUUUAGCCUAAAACGAGUCUAAACUUGAAAACCUCAUAACUUUUGAACCUUGAGGAACUACGUCGCCCAUAGCACCAUUUCGGAAAGCCCCAUAAAACCAUAAUGGGCGGUGAAUAGGGGGCGCAAUUUUUCGGGCUCAAAUUCAGCCGUUUUGACCCUCAAACGGGCUGCGGAAAGUUAUGGCACGUAAAAAAGAUCGAAAGCGGAUUUUCAAGGUGUUUUUGAUGCUUUCUUAACGCCGUUAACCUCGAUGCACUUUUUCGCUCGAAACAAAACGGCAAGAAAAUCAUGCGCGCCCCACGGCCUUACACUUGGAUUGGCCGCGAAAAGGAUAUAUAGAAACGAGAGUGAUGUACUGACGGGUGCGAUCAUACCAGCACUAAUGCACCGGAUCCCAUCAGAACUCCGCAGUUAAGCGUGCUUGGGCGAGAGAGUAGUACUAGGAUGGGUGACCUCCCGGGAAGUCCUCGUGUUGCACCCCUUUUUAUUUUUUAAUUUUUUUUUAGCCUAAAACGAGUCUAAACUUGAAAACCUCAUAACUUUUGAACCGUGAGGAACUACGUCGCCCAUAGCACCAUUUCGGAGAGCCCCAGAAACCAUAAUGGGCGGUGAAUAGGGGGCGCAAUUUUUCGGGCUCAAAUUCAGCCGUUUUGACCCUCAAACGGGCUGCGGAAAGUUAUGGCACGUAAAAAAGAUCGAAAGCGGAUUCUCAAGGUGUUUUUGAUGCUUUCUUAACGCCGUUAACCUCGAUGCACUUUUUCGCUCGAAACAAAACGGCAAAAAAAAUCAUGUGGGCCCCACGGCCUUACACUUGGAUUGGCCGCGAAAAGGAUAUAUAGAAACGAGAGUGAUGUACUGACGGGUGCGAUCAUACCAGCACUAAUGCACCGGAUCCCAUCAGAACUCCGCAGUUAAGCGUGCUUGGGCGAGAGUAGUACUAGGAUGGGUGACCUCCCGGGAAGUCCUCGUGUUGCACCCCUUUUUAUUUUUUAAUUUUUUUUUUUGCCUAAAACGAGUCUAAACUUGAAAACCUCAUAACUUUUGAACCGUGAGGAACUACGUCGCCCAUAGCACCAUUUCGGAAAGCCCCAGAAACCAUAAUGGGCGGUGAAUAGGGGGCGCAAUUUUUCGGGCUCAAAUUCAGCCGUUUUGACCCUCAAACGGGCUGCGGAAAGUUAUGGCACGUAAAAAAGAUCGAAAGCGGAUUCUCAAGGUGUUUUGAUGCUUUCUUAACGCCGUUAACCUCGAUGCACUUUUUCGCUCGAAACAAAACGGCAAGAAAAUCAUGCGCGCCCCACGGCCUUACACUUGGAUUGGCCGCGAAAAGGAUAUAUAGAAACGAGAGUGAUGUACUGACGGGUGCGAUCAUACCAGCACUAAUGCACCGGAUCCCAUCAGAACUCCGCAGUUAAGCGUGCUUGGGCGAGAGUAGUACUAGGAUGGGUGACCUCCCGGGAAGUCCUUGUGUUGCACCCCUUUUAAUUUUUUAAUUUUUUUUUAGCCUAAAACGAGUCUAAACUUGAAAACCUCAUAACUUUUGAACCGUGAGGAACUACGUCGCCCAUAGCACCAUUUCGGAGAGCCCCAGAAACCAUAAUGGGCGGUGAAUAGGGGCGCAAUUUUUCGGGCUCAAAUUCAGCCGUUUUGACCCUCAAACGGGCUGCGGAAAGUUAUGGCACGUAAAAAAGAUCGAAAGCGGAUUCUCAAGGUGCUUUUGAUGCUUUCUUAACGCCGUUAACCUCGAUGCACUUUUUCGCUCGAAACAAAACGGCAAGAAAAUCAUGCGCGCCCCACGGCCUUACACUUGGAUUGGCCGCGAAAAGGAUAUAUAGAAACGAGAGUGAUGUACUGACGGGUGCGAUCAUACCAGCACUAAUGCACCGGAUCCCAUCAGAACUCCGCAGUUAAGCGUGCUUGGGCGAGAGUAGUACUAGGAUGGGUGACCUCCCGGGAAGUCCUCGUGUUGCACCCCUUUUAUUUUUUAAUUUUUUUUUGCCUAAAACGAGUCUAAACUUGAAAACCUCAUAACUUUUGAACCGUGAGGAACUACGUCGCCCAUAGCACCAUUUCGGAGAGCCCCAGAAACCAUAAUGGGCGGUGAAUAGGGGGCGCAAUUUUUCGGGCUCAAAUUCAGCCGUUUUGACCCUCAAACGGGCUGCGGGGAAAGUUAUGGCACGUAAAAAAGAUCGAAAGCGGAUUCUCAAGGUGCUUUUGAUGCUUUCUUAACGCCGUUAACCUCGAUGCACUUUUUCGCUCGAAACAAAACGGCAAGAAAAUCAUGCGCGCCCCACGGCCUUACACUUGGAUUGGCCGCGAAAAGGAUAUAUAGAAACGAGAGUGAUGUACUGACGGGUGCGAUCAUACCAGCACUAAUGCACCGGAUCCCAUCAGAACUCCGCAGUAAGCGUGCUUGGGCGAGAGUAGUACUAGGAUGGGUGACCUCCCGGGAAGUCCUCGUGUUGCACCCCUUUUUAUUUUUUAAUUUUUUUUUAGCCUAAAACGAGUCUAAACUUGAAAACCUCAUAACUUUUGAACCGUGAGGAACUACGUCGCCCAUAGCACCAUUUCGGAAAGCCCCAGAAACCAUAAUGGGCGGUGAAUAGGGGGCGCAAUUUUUCGGGCUCAAAUUCAGCCGUUUUGACCCUCAGACGGGCUGCGGAAAGUUAUGGCACGUAAAAAAGAUCGAAAGCGGAUUCUCAAGUGUUUUGUGUGCUUUCUUAACGCCGUUAACCUCGAUGCACUUUUUCGCUCGAAACAAAACGGCAAGAAAAUCAUGCGCGCCCCACGGCCUUACACUUGGAUUGGCCGCGAAAAGGAUAUAUAGAAACGAGAGUGAUGUACUGACGGGUGCGAUCAUACCAGCACUAAUGCACCGGAUCCCAUCAGAACUCCGCAGUUAAGCGUGCUUGGGCGAGAGUAGUACUAGGAUGGGUGACCUCCCGGGAAGUCCUCGUGUUGCACCCCUUUUUUUUUUUAAUUUUUUUUUAGCCUAAAACGAGUCUAAACUUGAAAACCUCAUAACUUUUGAACCGUGAGGAACUACGUCGCCCAUAGCACCAUUUCGGAAAGCCCCAGAAACCAUAAUGGGCGGUGAAUAGGGGGCGCAAUUUUUCGGGCUCAAAUUCAGCCGUUUUGACCCUCAAACGGGCUGCGGAAAGUUAUGGCACGUAAAAAAGAUCGAACUAUGGAUUCUGAAGGUGUUUUUGAUGCUUUCUUAACGCCGUUAACCUCGAUGCACUUUUUCGCUCGAAACAAAACGGCAAGAAAAUCAUGCGCGCCCCACGGCCUUACACUUGGAUUGGCCGCGAAAAGGAUAUAUAGAAACAAGAGUGAUGUACUGUCGGGUGCGAUCAUACCAGCACUAAUGCACCGGAUCCCAUCAGAACUCCGCAGUUAAGCGUGCUUGGGCGAGAGUAGUACUAGGAUGGGUGACCUCCCGGGAAGUCCUCGUGUUGCACCCCUUUUUUUUUUUAAUUUUUUUUUGCCUAAAACGAGUCUAAACUGAAAACCCAUAACUUUUGAACCGUGAGGAACUACGUCGCCCAUAGCACCAUUUCGGAAGAGCCCCAGAAACCAUAAUGGGCGGUGAAUAGGGGGCGCAAUUUUUCGGGCUCAAAUUCAGCCGUUUUGACCCUCAAACGGGCUGCGGAAAGUUAUGGCACGUAAAAAAGAUCGAAAGCGGAUUCUCAAGGUGUUUUUGAUGCUUUCUUAACGCCGUUAACCUCGAUGCACUUUUUUUCGCUCGAAACAAAACGGCAAGAAAAUCAUGCGCGCCCCACGGCCUUACACUUGGAUUGGCCGCGAAAAGGAUAUAUAGAAACGAGAGUGAUGUACUGACGGGUGCGAUCAUACCAGCACUAAUGCACCGGAUCCCAUCAGAACUCCGCAGUCAAGCGUGCUUGGGCGAGAGUAGUACUAGGAUGGGUGACCUCCCGGGAAGUCCUCGUGUUGCACCCCUUUUUAUUUUUUUAAUUUUUUUUUAGCCUAAAACGAGUCUAAACUUGAAAACCUCAUAACUUUUGAACCGUGAGGAACUACGUCGCCCAUAGCACCAUUUCGGAGAGCCCCAGAAACCAUAAUGGGCGGUGAAUAGGGGGCGCAAUUUUUCGGGCUCAAAUUCAGCCGUUUUGACCCUCAAACGGGCUGCGGAAAGUUAUGGCACGUAAAAAAGAUCGAAAGCGGAUUCUCAAGUGUUUUUGAUGCUUUCUUAACGCCGUUAACCUCGAUGCACUUUUUCGCUCGAAACAAAACGGCAAGAAAAUCAUGCGCGCCCCACGGCCUUACACUUGGAUUGGCGCGAAAAGGAUAUAUAGAAACGAGAGUGAUGUACUGACGGGUGCGAUCAUACCAGCACUAAUGCACCGGAUCCCAUCAGAACUCCGCAGUUAAGCGUGCUUGGGCGAGAGUAGUACUAGGAUGGGUGACCUCCCGGGAAGUCCUCGUGUGUUGCACCCCUUUUUAUUUUUAAUUUUUUUUAGCCUAAAACGAGUCUAAACUUGAAAACCUCAUAACUUUUGAACCGUGAGGAACUACGUCGCCCAUAGCACCAUUUCGGAAAGCCCCAGAAACCAUAAUGGGCGGUGAAUAGGGGGCGCAAUUUUUCGGGCUCAAAUUCAGCCGUUUUGACCCUCAAACGGGCUGCGGAAAGUUAUGGCACGUAAAAAAGAUCGAAAGCGGAUUCUCAAGGUGUUUUUGAUGCUUUCUUAACGCCGUUAACCUCGAUGCACUUUUUCGCUCGAAACAAAACGGCAAGAAAAUCAUGCGCGCCCACGGCCUUACACUUGGAUUGGCCGCGAAAAGGAUAUAUAGAAAGAAACGAGUGAUGUACUGACGGGUGCGAUCAUACCAGCACUAAUGCACCGGAUCCCAUCAGAACUCCGCAGUUAAGCGUGCUUGGGCGAGAGUAGUACUAGGAUGGGUGACCUCCCGGGAAGUCCUCGUGUUGCACCCCUUUUUAUUUUUUAAUUUUUUUUUAGCCUAAACGAGUCUAAACUUGAAAACCUCAUAACUUUUGAACCGUGAGGAACUACGUCGCCCAUAGCACCAUUUCGGAAAGCCCCAGAAACCAUAAUGGGCGGGUGAAUAGGGGGCGCAAUUUUUCGGGCUCAAAUUCAGCCGUUUUGACCCUCAAACGGGCUGCGGAAAGUUAUGGCACGUAAAAAAGAUCGAAAGCGGAUUCUCAAGGUGUUUUGAUGCUUUCUUAACGCCGUUAACCUCGAUGCACUUUUUCGCUCGAAACAAACGGCAAGAAAAUCAUGCGCGCCCCACGGCCUUACACUUGGAUUGGCCGCGAAAAGGAUAUAUAGAAACGAGAGUGAUGUACUGACGGGUGCGAUCAUACCAGCACUAAUGCACCGGAUCCAUCAGAACUCCGCAGUUAAGCGUGCUUGGGCGAGAGUAGUACUAGGAUGGGUGACCUCCCGGGAAGUCCUCGUGUUGCACCCCUUUUUAUUUUUUAAUUUUUUUUUAGCCUAAAACGAGUCUAAACUUGAAAACCCCAUAACUUUUGAACCGUGAGGAACUACGUCGCCCAUAGCACCAUUUCGGAAAGCCCCAGAAACCAUAAUGGGCGGUGAAUAGGGGGCGCAAUUUUUCGGGCUCAAAUUCAGCCGUUUUGACCCUCAAACGGGCUGCGGAAAGUUAUGGCAGAAAAAAAAAGACCGAAAGCGGAUUUUCAAGGUGUUUUUGAUGCUUUCUUAACGCCGUUAACCUCGAUGCACUUUUUCGCUCGAAACAAAACGGCAAGAAAAUCAUGCGCGCCCCACGGCCUUACACUUGGAUUGGCCGCGAAAAGGAUAUAUAGAAACGAGAGUGAUGUACUGUCGGGUGCGAUCAUACCAGCACUAAUGCACCGGAUCCCAUCAGAACUCCGCAGUUAAGCGUGCUUGGGCGAGAGUAGUACUAGGAUGGGUGACCUCCCGGGAAGUCCUCGUGUUGCACCCCUUUUUAUUUUUUAAUUUUUUUAGCCUAAAACGAGUCUAAACUUGAAAACCUCAUAACUUUUGAACCGUGAGGAACUACGUCGCCCAUAGCACCAUUUCGGAAAGCCCCAGAAACCAUAAUGGGCGGUGAAUAGGGGGCGCAAUUUUCGGGCUCAAAUUCAGCCGUUUUGACCCUCAAACGGGCUGCGGAAAGUUAUGGCACGUAAAAAAGAUCGAAAGCGGAUUCUCAAGGUGUUUUUAAUGCUUUCUUAACGCCGUUAACCUCGAUGCACUUUUUCGCUCGAAACAAAACGGCAAGAAAUCAUGCGCGCCCCACGGCCUUACACUUGGAUUGGCCGCGAAAAGGAUAUAUAGAAACGAGAGUGAUGUACUGACGGGUGCGAUCAUACCAGCACUAAUGCACCGGAUCCCAUCAGAACUCCGCAGUUAAGCGUGCUUGGGCGAGAGUAGUAGUACUAGGAUGGGUGACCUCCCGGGAAGUCCUCGUGUUGCACCCCUUUUAUUUUUUAAUUUUUUUUUGCCUAAAACGAGUCUAAACUUGAAAAACCUCAUAACUUUUGAACCGUGAGGAACUACGUCGCCCAUAGCACCAUUUCGGAAAGCCCCAGAAACCAUAAUGGGCGGUGAGGUGAAUAGGGGGCGCAAUUUUUCGGGCUCAAAUUCAGCCGUUUGACCCUCAAACGGGCUGCGGGCGGAAAGUUAUGGCACGUAAAAAAGAUCGAAAGCGGAUUCUCAAGGUGUUUUUGAUGCUUUCUAACGCCGUUAACCUCGAUGCACUUUUUCGCUCGAAACAAAACGGCAAGAAAAUCAUGCGGCCCCACGGCCUUACACUUGGAUUGGCCGCGAAAAGGAUAUAUAGAAACGAGAGUGAUGUACUGACGGGUGCGAUCAUACCAGCACUAAUGCACGGAUCCCAUCAGAACUCCGCAGUUAAGCGUGCUUGGGCGAGAGUAGUACUAGGAUGGGGACCUCCCGGGAAGUCCUCGUGUUGCACCCCUUUUUAUUUUUUAAUUUUUUUUUAGCCUAAAACGAGUCUAAACUUGAAAACCUCAUAACUUUUGAACCGUGAGGAACUACGUCGCCCAUAGCACCAUUUCGGAAAGCCCCAGAAACCAUAAUGGCGGGUGAUGAAGGGGCGCAAUUUUCGGGCUCAAAUUCAGCCGUUUUGACCCUCAAACGGGCUGCGGAAAGUUAUGGCACGUAAAAAAGAUCGAAAGCGGAUUCUCAAGGUGUUUUUGAUGCUUUCUUAACGCCGUUAACCUCGAUGCACUUUUUCGCUCGAAACAAAACGGCAAGAAAAUCAUGCGCGCCCCCACGGCCUUACACUUGGAUUGGCCGCGCGAAAAGGAUAUAUAGAAACGAGAGUGAUGUACUGUCGGGUGCGAUCAUACCAGCACUAAUGCACCGGAUCCCAUCAGAACUCCGCAGUUAAGCGUGCUUGGGCGAGAGUAGUACUAGGAUGGGUGACCUCCCGGGAAGUCCUCGUGUUGCACCCCUUUUUAUUUUUUAAUUUUUUUUAGCCUAAAACGAGUAUAAACUUGAAAACCUGAAACUUUUGAACCGUGAGGAACUACGUCGCCCAUAGCACCAUUUCGGAGAGCCCCAGAAACCAUAAUGGGCGGUGAAUAGGGGGCGCAAUUUUUCGGGCUCAAAUUCAGCCGUUUUGACCCUCAAACGGGCUGCGGAAAGUUAUGGCACGUAAAAAAGAUCGAAAGCGGAUUCUCAAGGUGUUUUUGAUGCUUUCUUAACGCCGUUAACCUCGAUGCACUUUUUCGCUCGAAACAAAACGGCAAAAAAAAUCAUGUGGGCCCCACGGCCUUACACUUGGAUUGGCCGGGGAAAGGAUAUAUAGAAACGAGAGUGAUGUACUGACGGGUGCGAUCAUACCAGCACUAAUGCACCGGAUCCCAUCAGAACUCCGCAGUGAAGCGUGCUUGGGCGAGAGUAGUAUUAGGAUGGGUGACCUCCCGGGAAGUCCUCGUGUUGCACCCCUUUUUAUUUUAUAAUUUUUUUUUAGCCUAAAACGAGUCUAAACUUGAAAACCUCAUAACUUUUGAACCGUGAGGAACUACGUCGCCCAUAGCACCAUUUCGGAAAGCCCCAGAAACCAUAAUGGUGGUGCGGUGAAUAGGGGGCAAUCGCAAUUUUUCGGGCUCAAAUUCAGCCGUUUUGACCCUCAAACGGGCUGCGGAAAGUUAUGGCACGUAAAAAAGAUCGAAAGCGGAUUCUCAAGGUGUUUUUGAUGCUUUCUUAACGCCGUUAACCUCGAUGCACUUUUUCGCUCGAAACAAAACGGCAAGAAAAUCAUGCGCGCCCCCACGGCCUUACACUUGGAUUGGCCGCGAAAAGGAUAUAUAGAAACGAGAGUGAUGUACUGACGGGUGCGAUCAUACCAGCACUAAUGCACCGGAUCCCAUCAGAACUCAGCAGUUAAGCGUGCUUGGGCGAGAGUAGUACUAGGAUGGGUGACCUCCCGGGAAGUCCUGUGUGCACCCCUUUUAUUUUUUAAUUUUUUUUUAGCCUAAAACGAGUCUAAACUUGAAAACCUCAUAACUUUUGAACCGUGAGGAACUACGUCGCCCAUAGCACCAUUUCGGAAAGCCCCAGAAACCAUAAUGGGGUGAAUAGGGGGCGCAAUUUUCGGGCUCAAAUUCAGCCGUUUUGACCCUCAAACGGGCUGCGGAAAGUUAUGGCACGUAAAAAGAUCGAAAGCGGAUUCUCAAGGUGUUUUUGAUGCUUUCUUAACGCCGUUAACCUCGAUGCACUUUUCGCUCGAAACAAAACGGCAAGAAAAAUCAUGCGCGCCCCACGGCCUUACACUUGGAUUGGCCGCGAAAAGGAUAUAUAGAAACGAGAGUGAUGUACUGACGGGUGCGAUCAUACCAGCACUAAUGCACGGAUCCCAUCAGAACUCCGCAGUGAAAGCGUGCUUGGGCGAGAGUAGUACUAGGAUGGGUGACCUCCCGGGAAGUCCUCGUGUUGCACCCCUUUUUAUUUUUAAAUUUUUUUUUAGCCUAAAACGAGUCUAAACUUGAAAACCUCAUAACUUUUGAACCGUGAGGAACUACGUCGCCCAUAGCACCAUUUCCGGAGAGCCCCAGAAACCAUAAUGGGCGGUGAAUAGGGGGCGCAAUUUUUCGGGCUCAAAUUCAGCCGUUUUGACCCUCAAACGGGCUGCGGAAAGUUAUGGCACGUAAAAAAGAUCGAAAGCGGAUUCUCAAGGUGUUUUGAUGCUUUCUUAACGCCGUUAACCUCGAUGCACUUUUUCGCUUCGAAACAAAACGGCAAGAAAAUCAUGCGCGCCCCACGGCCUUACACUUGGAUUGGCCGCGAAAAGGAUAUAUAGAAACGAGAGUGAUGUACUGACGGGUGCGAUCAUAUACCAGCACUAAUGCACCGGAUCCCAUCAGAACUCCGCAGUUAAGCGUGCUUGGGCGAGAGUAGUACUAGGAUGGGUGACCUCCCGGGAAGUCCUCGUGUUGCACCCCUUUUAUUUUUUAAUUUUUUUUUGCCUAAAACGAGUCUAAACUUGAAAACCUCAUAACUUUUGAACCGUGAGGAACUACGUCGCCCAUAGCACCAUUUCGGAGAAGCCCCAGAAACCAUAAUGGGCGGUGAAUAGGGGGCGCAAUUUUUCGGGCUCAAUUCAGCCGUUUUGACCCUCAAACGGGCUGCGGAAAGUUAUGGCACGUAAAAAAAGAUCGAAAGCGGAUUCUCAAGGUGUUUUUGAUGCUUUCUUAACGCCGUAACCUCGAUGCACUUUUUCGCUCGAACAAAACGGCAAGAAAAUCAUGCGCGCCCCACGGCCUUACACUUGGAUUGGCCGCGAAAAGGAUAUAUAGAAACGAGAGUGAUGUACUGACGGGUGCGAUCAUACCAGCACUAAUGUACCGGAUCCCAUCAGAACUCCGCAGUUAAGCGCGCUUGGGCGAGAGUAGUAUUAGGAUGGGUGACCUCCCGGGAAGUCUUCGUGUUGCACCCCUUUUUAUUUUAUAAUUUUUUUAGCCUAAAACGAGUCUAAACUUGAAAACCUCAUAAAUUUUGAACCGUGAGGAACUACGUCGCCCAUAGCACCAUUUCGGAAAGUCCCAGAAACCAUAAUGGGCGGUGAAUAGGGGGCGCAAUUUUUCGGGCUGAAAUUCAGCCGUUUUGACCCUCAAACGGGCUGCGGAAAGUUAUGGCACGUAAAAAGAUCGAAAGCGGAUUCUCAAUGGUUUUUGAUGCUUUCUUAACGCCGUUAACCUCGAUGCACUUUUUCGCUCGAAACAAAACGGCAAGAAAAUCAUGCGCCCCCACGGCCUUACACUUGGAUUGGCCGCGAAAAGGAUAUAUAGAAACGAGAGUGAUGUACUGACGGGUGCGAUCAUACCAGCACUAAUGCACCGGAUCCCAUCAGAACUCCGCAGUUAAGCGUGCUUGGGCGAGAGUAGUACUAGGAUGGGUGACCUCCCGGGAAGUCCUCGUGUUGCACCCCUUUUUAUUUUUUAAUUUUUUUUUGCCUAAAACGAGUCUAAAACUUGAAAACCUCAUAACUUUUGAACCGUGAGGAACUACGUCGCCCAUAAGCACCAUUUCGGAAAGCCCCAGAAACCAUAAUGGCGGGAAUGCGGUGAAUAGGGGGCGCAAUUUUUCGGGCUCAAAUUCAGCCGUUUUGACCCUCAGACGGGCUGCGGAAAGUUAUGGCACGUAAAAAAGAUCGAAAGCGGAUUCUCAAGGUGUUUUUGAUGCUUUCUUAACGCCGUUAACCUCGAUGCACUUUUUUGCUCGAAACAAAACGGCAAGAAAAUCAUGCGCGCCCCACGGCCUUACACUUGGAUUGGCUGCGAAAAGGAUAUAUAGAAACGAGAGUGAUGUACUGUCGGCUGCGAUCAUACCAGCACUAAUGCACCGGAUCCCAUCAGAACUCCGCAGUGAAGCGUGCUUGGGCGAGAGUAGUACUAGGAUGGGUGACCUCCCGGGAAGUCCUCGUGUUGCACCCCUUUUUAUUUUUUAAUUUUUUUUUAGCCUAAAACGAGUCUAAACUUGAAAACCCAUAACUUUUGAACCGUGAGGAACUACGUCGCCCAUAGCACAUUUCGGAAGCCCCAGAAACCAUAAUGGGCGGUGAAUAGGGGGCGCAAUUUUCGGGCUCAAAAUUCAGCCGUUUUUGACCCUCAACGGGCUGGCGAAAAGUUAUGGCACGUAAAAAAGAUCGAAAGCGGAUUCUCAAGGUGUUUUUGAUGCUUUCUUAACGCCGUUAACUCGAUGCACUUUUCGCUCGAAACAAAACGGCAAGAAAAAUCAUGCGCGCCCCACGGCCUUACACUUGGAUUGGCCGCGAAAAGGAUAUAUAGAAACGAGAGUGAUGUACUGACGGGUGCGAUCAUACCAGCACUAAUGCACCGGAUCCCAUCAGAACUCCGCAGUUAAGCGUGCUUGGGCGAGAGUAGUACUAGGAUGGGUGACCUCCCGGAAGUCCUCUGUUGCACCCCUUUUUAUUUUUUUAAUUUUUUUUUAGGCCUAAAACGAGUCUAAACUUGAAAACCCAUAACUUUUGAACCGUGAGGAACUACGUCGCCCAUAGCACCAUUUCGGAAAGCCCCAGAAAACCAUAAGGGCGGGUGGUGAAUAGGGGGCGCAAUUUUUUCGGGCUCAAAUUCAGCCGUUUUGACCCUCAAACGGGCUGCGGAAAGUUUAUGGCACGUAAAAAAGAUCGAAAGCGGAUUCUCAAGGUGUUUUGAGCUUUCUUAACGCCGUUAACCUCGAUGCACUUUUUCGCUCGAAACAAAACGGCAAGAAAAUCAUGCGCGCCCCACGGCCUUACACUUGGAUCAUACCAGCACUAAUGCACCGGAUCCCAUCAGAACUCCGCAGUUAAGCGUGCUUGGGCGAGAGUAGUACUAGGAUGGGUGACCCUCCGGGAAGUCCUCGUGUUGCACCCCCUUUUUAUUUUUUAAUUUUUUUUUAGCCUAAAACGAGUCUAAACUUGAAAAACCUCAUAACUUUUGAACCGUGAGGAACUACGUCGCCCAUAGCACCAUUUCGGAAAGCCCCAGAAACCAUAAUGGGCGGGUGAAUAGGGGGGGCGCAAUUUUUCGGGCUCAAAUUCAGCCGUUUUGACCCUCAAACGGGCUGCGGAAAGUUAUGGCACGUAAAAAAGAUCGAAAGAUGAUUCUCAAGGUGUUUUUUGCUUUCUUUAACGCCGUUAACCUCGAUAAUUUCGCUUCUCGCUCGAAACAAAACGGCAAGAAAAUCAUGUGGCGCCCCACGGCCUUACACUUGGAUUGGCCGCGAAAAGGAUAUAUAGAAACGAGAGUGAUGUACUGACGGGUGCGAUCAUACCACGCAAUGCACCGGAUCCCAUCAGAACUCCGCAGAUUAAGCGUGCUUGGGCGAGAGUAGUACUAGGAUGGGUGACCUCCCGGGAAGUCCUCGUGUUGCACCCCUUUUUAUUUUUUAAUUUUUUUUUAGCCUAAACGAGUCUAAACUUGAAAACCUCAUAACUUUUGAACCGUGAGGAACUACGCCCCAUAGCACCAUUUCGGAAAGCCCCAGAAACCAUAAUGGGCGGUGAAUAGGGGGCGCAAUUUUUCGGGCUCAAAUUCAGCCGUUUUGACCCUCAAACGGGCUGCGGAAAGUUAUGGCACGUAAAAAAGAUCGAAAGCGGAUUCUCAAGGUGUUUUUGAUGCUUUCUUAACGCCGUUAACCUCGAUGCACUUUUUCGCUCGAAACAAAACGGCAAGAAAAUCAUGUGCGCCCCCACGGCCUACACUUGGAUUGGGCCGCGAAAAGGAUAUAUAGAAACGAGAGUGAUGUACUGACGGGUGCGAUCAUACACAGCACUAAUGCAACCGAUAUCAGAACUCCACGCAGUUAGCGUGUUGGGCUUGGCGAGAGUAGUACUAGGAUGGGUGACCUCCCGGGAAGACUCGUCCUCGUGUUGCCCCCUUUUUAUUUUUUAUUUUUUUAAUUUUUUUUUUACUAAACGAGUCUAAACUUGAAACCUCAUAACUUUUGAACCGUGAGGAACUAGACGUCGCCCAUAGCACCAUUUCGGAAAGCCCCAGAAACACCAUAAGGCGGUGAAUAGGGGGCGCAAUUUUUCGGGCUCAAAUUCAGCCGUUUUGACCCUCAAACGGGCUGCGGAAAGUUAUGGCACGUAAAAAAGAUCGAAAGCGGAUUCUCAAGGUGGUUUUUGAUGCUUUCUUAACGCCGUUAACCUCGAUGCACUUUUUCGCUCGAAACAAAACGGCAAAGAAAAUCAUGCGGGCCCCCACGGCCUUACACUUGGAUUGGCCGCGGAAAGGAUAUAUAGAAACGAGAGUGAUGUACUGACGGGUGCGAUCAUACCAGCACUAAUGCAACCAAUCCCAGAACUCCGCAGUUAAGAGUGUGCUUGGGCGAGAGUAGUACUAGGAUGGGUGACCUCCCGGGAAGUCCUCGUGUUGCACCCCUUUUUUUAUUUUAUAAUUUUUUUUUAGCCUAAAACGAGUCUAAACUUGAAAACCUCAUAACUUUUGAACCGUGAGGAAUACGUCGCCCAUAGCACCAUUUCGGAAGCCCCAGAAACCAUAAUGGGCGGUGGAAUAGGGGGCGCAAUUUUUCGGGCUCAAAUUCAGCCGUUUUGACCCUCAAACGGGCUGCGGAAAGUUAUGGCACGUAAAAAAGAUCGAAAGCGGAUUCUCAAGGUGUUUUUGAUGCUUUCUUAACGCCGUUAACCUCGAUGCACUUUUUCGCUCGAAACAAAACGGCAAAAAAAUCAUGUGGGCCCCACGGCCUUACACUUGGAUUGGCCGCGAAAAGGAUAUAUAGAAACGAGAGUGAUGUACUGACGGGUGCGAUCAUACCAGCACUAAUGCACCGGAUCCCAUCAGAACUCCGCAGUGAAGCGUGCUUGGGCGAGAGGUAGAGUGUAUAGGAUGGGUGACCUCCGGGAAGUCCUCGUGUUGCACCCCUUUUUAUUUUUUAAUUUUUUUUUAGCCUAAACGAGUCUAAACUUGAAAACCUCAUAACUUUUGAACCGUGAGGAACUACGUCGCCAUAGCACCAUUUCGGAAAGCCCCAGAAACCAUAAUGGGCGGUGAAUAGGGGGCGCAAUUUUUCGGGCUCAAAUUCAGCACGUUUUGACCCUCAAACGGGCUGCGGAAAGUUAUGGCACGUAAAAAAGAUCGAAAGCGGAUUCUCAAGGUUGUUUUUGAUGCUUUCUUAACGCCGUUAACCUCGAUGCACUUUUUCGCUCGAAACAAAACGGCAAGAAAAUCAUGCGCGGCCCACGGUUUACACUUGGAUUGGCCGCGAAAAGGAUAUAUUUGAUGUACUGAGAGUGAGUAUGACGGUGCGAUAUACCAGCACUAAUGCACCGGAUCCCAUCAGAACUCCGCAGUUAAGCGUGCUUUGGGGAGAGUAGUACUAGGAUGGGUGACCUCCCGGGAAGUCCUCGUGUUGCACCCUUUUUUAUUUUUAAUUUUUUUUAGCCUAAAACGAGUCUAAACUUGAAAACCUCAUAACUUUUGAACCGUGAGGAACUACGUCGCCCAUAGCACCAUUCGAAAAGCCCCAGAAACCAUAAUGGGCGGGGUGAUAGGGGGCGCAAUUUUUCGGGCUCAAAUUCAGCCGUUUUGACCCUCAAACGGGCUGCGGAAAGUUAUGGCACGUAAAAAAAAGAUCGAAAGCGGAUUCUCAGGUGUUUUUGAUGCUUUCUUAACGCCGUUAACCUCGAUGCACUUUUUCGCUCGAAACAAAACGGGCAAGAAAAUCAUGCGCGCCCACGGCCUUACACUUGGAUUGGCCGCGAAAAGGAUAUAUAGAAACGAGAGUGAUGUACUGAUGAUGUUCUGCGAUCAUACCAGCACUAAUGCACCGGAUCACCACAGAAACUCCGCACAGUUAAGCGUGCUUGGGCGAGAGUAGUACUAGGAUGGGUGACCUCCCGGGAAGUCCUCGUGUUGCACCCCCCUUUUAUUUUUUAAUUUUUUUUUAGCCUAAAACGAGUCUAAAUGAAAACUUCUAAUAACAUUUUUGAACCGUGAGGAACUACUGCGCCAUAGCACCAUUUCGGAAAGCCCCAGAAACCAUAAUGGGCGGUGAAUAGGGGGCGCAAUUUUUCGGGCUCAAAUUCAGCCGUUUGACCCUCAAACGGGCUGCGGAAAGUUAUGGCACGUAAAAAGAUCGAAAGCGGAUUCUCAAGGUGUUUUGAUGCUUUCUUAACGCCGUUAACCUCGAUGCACUUUUUCGCUCGAAACAAAACGGCAAGAAAAUCAU
rnacentral:lncRNA from 1 species